rnacentral:lncRNA from 1 species
AAAGAAGAAGAUAAGGAAAAGGAAAAAAGAAGAAGAAGGAGCUUGCAUAAAUUAAUUUGGAUGCUUGGUUUUAAGACUGCAAUCUUUUAGUUUGGAAUUUUGUUACACAUGUUCGCAUAGCGUUUUCCUGAUUGGUCGGUACUCUGUGGCUAUACGACAAGUCAAUCAUCUCUCCCCUGAGUAUGAUGGAUAGGCUCUCCACUGGCAGGCUACGCGUGAAAAAAUUAUAGAGGAGCGCGUACAACUCGUAGUCGUGGCGAUUGAGAAACAAAGUAGAGGUAUUAGAAGACAGUUGCCAAAUCAAGAUUCAUGGCUAAGAUUUGUCAGAACUCACAAACAAAAAUCAUAUAUACUUCUCCAUUUUAGGAUUUUUAGAUUCAUAACUUUUGCGGCUCAGAAACAAAAAUCAAAUAUACUCUCUCCG